rnacentral:rRNA from 1 species
AGUGAACGCUGGCGGUAGGCCUAACACAUGCAAGUCGAACGGCAGCACAGUAAGAGCUUGCUCUUACGGGUGGCGAGUGGCGGACGGGUGAGGAAUACAUCGGAAUCUACUUUUUCGUGGGGGAUAACGUAGGGAAACUUACGCUAAUACCGCAUACGACCUACGGGUGAAAGCAGGGGAUCUUCGGACCUUGCGCGAUUGAAUGAGCCGAUGUCGGAUUAGCUAGUUGGCGGGGUAAAGGCCCACCAAGGCGACGAUCCGUAGCUGGUCUGAGAGGAUGAUCAGCCACACUGGAACUAAGACACGGUCCAGACUCCUACGGGAGGCAGCAGUGGGGAAUAUUGGACAAUGGGCGCAAGCCUGAUCCAGCCAUACCGCGUGGGUGAAGAAGGCCUUCGGGUUGUAAAGCCCUUUUGUUGGGAAAGAAAAGCAGCAGGUUAAUACCCCGCUGUUCUGACGGUACCCAAAGAAUAAGCACCGGCUAACUUC